rnacentral:rRNA from 1 species
UACGUAGGGUGCGAGCGUUGUCUGGAAUUAUUGGGCGUAAAGAGCUCGUAGGCGGUCUGUCGCGUCGGUCGUGAAAACUUGGGGCUUAACCCUGAGCUUGCGGUCGAUACGGGCAUGACUGGAGUUCGGUAGGGGAGACUGGAAUUCCUGGUGUAGCGGUGAAAUGCGCAGAUAUCAGGAGGAACACCGGUGGCGAAGGCGGGUCUCUGGGCCGAUACUGACGCUGAGGAGCGAAAGCGUGGGGAGCGAACAGG